AAUGAACGCUGGCGGCAUGCCUAACACAUGCAAGUCGAACGAGACCUUCGGGUCUAGUGGCGCACGGGUGCGUAACGCGUGGGAACCUGCCCUUAGGUACGGAAUAACUCCCCGACAGGGGUGCUAAUACCGGAUAAUGUCUUCGGACCAAAGAUUGAUCGCCUUUGGAUGGGCCCGCGUUGUAUUAGCUAGUUGGUAGGGUAAGAGCCUACCAAGGCGACGAUCCAUAGCUGGUCUGAGAGGAUGAUCAGCCACACUUGGACUGAGACACGGCCCGGACUCCUACGGGAGGGAGCAGAGGGGGAUAUAGCACAAUGGGCGAAAGCAUGAUCCAGCUAUGCCGGGUGAGCGAUUAAGGCCUGAGGGUAGUAAAGCUCUUUUACCCGGGAUGAUAAUGACGGUACCGGGAGAAUAAGCUCCGGCUAACUCCGUG
rnacentral:rRNA from 1 species